UGCACAUACUUCAUGUUAUUUCUUGUGAUCAAGAGGAGAAAGUCUUUGGCUUUGUUAGGGAUUGCAAGUGCGUCCUUUACCCAUCAAUUACUGCUCUUCCUUCUUUCUGUUUUUCAGGAAAAUUAUUCUUAAGCUUAUCACAGUGUUGCUGCUGCUAGAUGUUGUUAAAUAGUUAGUAGCUAAUGGGCCACGUAAUGUUACCAGCUUGGAUUUUUGUGUUGACGUAGAUUCAUAGAAUUGUUGGAGUUGAAAGUGACCUUUAAAGGCCAUCUACUCCAGCCCCCCUGCAAUGAACAGGGAUACUGCAGCUAGAUCCAGUUGCUCAGAGCCCUCUCCAGCCUGACCUUGAAUGUUUCUUAGGAUGGAACAUCCAUCACCUCUCAAGGAACCUGUUUGAGUGGUUCGCUACACUUACUGUAAAAAAAAACAGCCUGUGAAGUGUUCCAUCUCUUGGAUCAUUUUUAUGCCCCUCCUCUGGAUGCUAUCCAGCAGAUCCAUAUUUCUUCUGUACUGAUGAUUCCAGGUCUGGACAUUGUACUCCAGGUGAGAUCUCACCAGCAUGGAGAGGCAGGAUCGCAUCCCUCAACCUGCUGAUCAUGCUUCUUUUGGUGCAGCCCAGGAUAUGGUUGGCUUUCUGGUCUGUGAAGCUUGUACUGAUGGAAGAGUUACCAUGACCUGGGUGCAAGACCUUUUCAAGUGGAUUUGUUGAACCCUAUGAGGUUCUCCUGGCCCCACUGCUCGAGCCCAUUUAGGUCUCUGGAUGGUAUCCUGUCCCUCGGGCAUGUUGACCACACUAUACAGCUUGAUAUCAUCUGCAAACUUAGUGAGUGUGCUUAAUCCCACUGUUGAUGUAACUGAUGAAGAUAUUUCCAAUUUUGAGAGAAGGAUGCUGUGAGGGACCAUGUUAAAGGCCUUAACUGAAGUUUGGAUAGAUGACAUCAGUAGCACUUUCCUUGUCCACUGAUGCUGUUGUGCCAUUGUGGAAGGCCACUAGCUUGGUCAGGGAGAACUUGCCCUUGGUGGAGCCAUGCUUGUCUUCGAUCACCUUCAGUGUGUCUAAGUGUAACUUCCAGGAGGAUCUGUUCAGUCGUCUUCCCAGACAUCGAGUUGAGGCUGACAGGUAGUUCCCUGGGUUAUCCUUUCUACCAUUCUUAAAAUUGGGUGCAAUAUUGCUUAUUUUCUUGUCACCAGGGACUUUACCUGACUGCCAUAACCUUUCAGAUGUCAUCAAGAGUGGCUUGGCAACUACAUCAGCCGGUUCCCUUGGGGCUAUGAGAUGCAUCUCAUCGGGACCAGUAGACUUUCAGAUUCCUCUGGUGAUCAUGAACUUGGUCUUUUCUGGUUCAGAUGUGAUCUUUCCCUGGACAGACAAAGAUAAAAGUAGAGCCAGGUGUUGGAGAGAUUCUUUCUCAUUAACAGAUAGGAAAUAACAAAAUGCAGUCUCGCAACUUCUGCAGUUAAUGCUACUUAGAAAGCUAAAUUGUACACUGUUGUAUAAAAAAACAAACAAAAAAAACCUGGGUUGCUGCUUUUGUGCUGAACUU
ensembl:lncRNA